GAAUUGGGUCCCACGCAACGGAAAUUCAUGAACUCCGUCAGGUCCGGAAGGAAGCAGCGGUAAGUGAAAUCUUCCGUGUGCCGUGGAUAAAUCUGAUUUGAGU
rfam:Clostridium acetobutylicum ATCC 824, complete genome.